rnacentral:rRNA from 1 species
AGUGGCGGACGGGUGAGUAACGCGUGAGCAACCUGCCCUUCGGAGGGGGAUAGUGUCUGGAAACGGACAGUAAUACCGCAUAACGUAUUUUUACCGCAUGAUAGAAAUACCAAAACUGAGGUGCCGAAGGAUGGGCUCGCGUUGGAUUAGAUAGUUGGUGGGGUAACGGCCUACCAAGUCGACGAUCCAUAGCCGGACUGAGAGGUUGAACGGCCACAUUGGGACUGAGACACGGCCCAGACUCCUACGGGAGGCAGCAG